UACGGAGGGUGCAAGCGUUGUUCGGAAUUAUUGGGCGUAAAGAGCACGUAGGUGGUCUGGUCAGUCUCACUGUGAAAGCCCGGGGCUCAACCCCGGGAGGCCAGGGGAUACUGCCAGUCUGGAGAGGGAGAGGCGAGUGGAAUUCCGGGUGUAGCGGUGGAAUGCGUAGAUAUCCGGAGGAACACCAGAGGCGAAGGCGACUCGCUGGCCCUGUUCUGACACUGAGGUGCGAAAGCGUGGGGAGCAAACAGG
rnacentral:misc_RNA from 1 species